rnacentral:misc_RNA from 1 species
AAGUCGUAACAAGGUCUCCGUAGGUGAACCUGCGGAGGGAUCAUUAAAGAAUUACCAAUAACAGAAAAGAUUAGAGAUGGUGGGAAGUUCUUUCUAUCACUCUAGUCUUUUCUGAACAAACAAACAUACAUGACUAGGAAACAGAGAUGGGAAAUGGUUUGAUUUGGUUUGGCGGGAGUGUCUCAUUGACAAGAAGUUCUUGGCUGAUAAGUAGCAUUGAUUUCAUCAAAUGUGAAUUUAUAAUCAAUACAACUUUCAACAACGGAUCUCUUGGCUCUCA